AGAAAUCCUGACGAGUGAACUGAGUAACGUCGCACCCUAUUAAGAAACUCAGUCCAUCCAAGUCUUUCACACCCUGCCCUGCUACUCUACGCAACACAACCCCAUGCACAAUCUGCCCGCUAAACUGAAUCUUAUCUAUAUUCAGAAGAUGGCCAAAGCAUGAUGUCUUGAAUUGUUCUAAUUGUUCGGCACUCAACUUCGCUCGAAUUGUAGCUAGGGAUGGAUUUGCAUGUGAGCAGUUGUUCACUUGUGACGAAUAUGCCUCUGACUCUGGCUAUACCAGCUCCACGUUGGAUCCCAUUUCCUGAAAUACAAGAUGAAAUAACAUGAACACAUAUACUACCACGUAUUUGCACAAUCACAUUGGUAUUUACACAACUAGUCAA
rnacentral:lncRNA from 1 species